UCUCAGGUGUAUCUGUAGUCUCAGGUGUACCCGUAGUCUCAGGUAUAGUUGUUGUCUCAGGUGUAGUUGUUGUCUCAGGUGUAUCUGUAGUCUCAGGUGUAGUUGUUGUCUCAGGUGUAGUUGUUGUUGUUUCAGGUGUGUGUCUGCAGACUGUUUCUCUGCCGGUGACAAAGACCACUUCCUGUUGUUUUGGGGGUCCGGACUUCUCCGACCUCUACGUGACCUCAGCCAGUCUUGGCCUGGACCAAUCAGAGCGGAGGAAGCAGCCGCUGGCCGGGGGGGUCUUCAGGGUCUCAGGACUUGGGGUCAAAGGUCGUCCCUCAGUCUCGUUCUCUGGAUAAACCUCAGCUGUACGACGUUGUCUCAAAUCACUGACUCACAUCACAUGAUGAUUAACUGUGAUCAAUAUACGGAGGCAGCCAAUCAGAGAGGAGGACACUGUGACAGCCAUUCAGACUGGAGAAAUUAUACCUAUUUUAUGUAACUUUGUAUAAUAAUGAAGAUAAUGAUCUGCAGCUGAGGAUUAUGGGUAAUGUAGUGAAUGUAACCACACCAAUGAUAAAUCAGUUUGAAAUAAAGAGAGCGUCUCGUA